GUCACUAUAGCUCAGUGGUAGAGCAUACGAUUGCAAAUCGUGUGGUCCCGUGUUCGAACCACGGUAGGGACU